rnacentral:rRNA from 1 species
UACGAAGGGGACUAGCGUUGCUCGGAAUUACUGGGCGUAAAGGGCGCGUAGGCGGCCAUUCAAGUCAGAGGUGAAAGCCUGGAGCUCAACUCCAGAACUGCCUUUGAUACUGUUUGGCUCGAGUGUGGGAGAGGUGAAUGGAACUCCGAGUGUAGAGGUGAAAUUCGUAGAUAUUCGGAAGAACAUCCGUGGCGAAGGCGGUUCACUGGCCCAAUACUGACGCUGAGGCGCGAAAGCGUGGGGAUCAAACAGG